rnacentral:rRNA from 1 species
UACAGAGGUCUCAAGCGUUGUUCGGAUUCAUUGGGCGUAAAGGGUGCGUAGGCGGCGCGGUAAGUCGGGUGUGAAAAUCUCGGAGCUUAACUCCGAAAACUGCAUUCGAUACUGCCGUGCUUGAGGACUGGAGAGGAGACUGGAAUUUACGGUGUAGCGGUGAAAAUGCGUAGAUAUCGUAAGGAAGACCAGUGGCGAAAGGGCGGGGUCUCUGGACAGUUCCUGACGCUGAGGCACGAAGGUCAGGGGGAGCAAAACGGGG